rnacentral:rRNA from 1 species
CUCCUACGGGACGCAGCAGUGGGGGAUAUUGGACAAUGGGGGAAACCCUGAUCCAGCGAUGCCGCGUGAGGGAAGAAGGUUUUCGGAUUGUAAACCUCUGUGGAGGGGGACGAUAAUGACGGUACCCCUUUAGGAAGCCACGGCUAACUACGUGCCAGCAGCCGAGGUAAUACGUAGGGGGCAAGCGUUAUCCGGAUUCACUGGGCGAAAAGGGAGCGCAGGCGGCACGGCAAGUCUGGUGUGAAAACCCGGGGCUCAACCCCGGGACUGCAUUGGAAACUGCCGGGCUGGAGUGUCG